rnacentral:rRNA from 1 species
GCCAGACUCCUACGGGAGGCAGCAGUGGGGAAUAUUGGGCAAUGGGCGCAAGCCUGACCCAGCAAUGCCGCGUGAAGGAAGAAGGCCCUCGGGUUGUAAACUUCUUUUAUCAGGGACGAAGGAUGUGACGGUACCUGAUGAAUAAGCUCCGGCUAACUACGUGCCAGCAGCCGCGGUAAUACGUAGGGAGCAAGCGUUAUCCGGAUUUACUGGGUGUAAAGGGCGCGUAGGCGGGAUGGCAAGUCAGAUGUGAAAUCCAGGGGCUCAACCCCUGAACUGCAUUUGAAACUGUCGUUCCUGAGUACUGGAGAGGUUGACGGAAUUCCUAGUGUAGCGGUGAAAUGCGUAGAUAUUAGGAGGAACACCAGUGGCGAAGGCGACUUUCUGGACUGUACCUGACGCUGAGGCGCGAAAGCGUGGGUAGCGAACGGGAUUAGAUACCCCGGUA